UCCACGCCGUAAACGAUGAGUGCUAGAUAUCGGGAGAUUUUCUUUCGGUUUCGCAGCUAACGCAUUAAGCACUCCGCCUGGGGAGUACGGUCGCAAGAUUAAAACUCAAAGGAAUUGACGGGGGCUCGCACAAGCGGUGGAGCAUGCGGUUUAAUUCGAUGUUACGCGAAAAACCUUACCAACCCUUGACAUGGUGGUCGCGGAUUGCAGAGAUGCUCUCCUUCAGUUCGGCUGGACCACACACAGGUGUUGCAUGGCUGUCGUCAGCUCGUGUCGUGAGAUGUUGGGUUAAGUCCCGCAACGAGCGCAACCCUUAUCCUUAUUUGCCAGUGGGUAAUGCCAGGAACUAUAAGGAAACUGCCGGUGAUAAGCCGGAGGAAGGUGGGGACGACGUCAAGUCAUCAUGGCCCUUACGGGUUGGGCUACACGCGUGCUACAAUGGUGUUUACAGAGGGAAGCAAUACGGUGACGUGGAGCAAAUCCCUAAAAGACAUCUCAGUUCGGAUUGUUCUCUGCAACUCGAGAGCAUGAAGUUGGAAUCGCUAGUAAUCGCGGAUCAGCAUGCCGCGGUGAAUACGUUCUCGGGCCUUGUACACACUGCCCGUCACGCCAUGGGAGUUGGUUUUACCUGAAGGUGGUGAGCUAACGCAAGAGGCAGCCAACCACGGU
rnacentral:rRNA from 1 species